rnacentral:tRNA from 1 species
UUAAAGUUAGUUUAUGAAUUGAACGUUGAUUUGUGGAAUCAAAAGAACAUUUAUUUGUACUUUAAA